AUGUGUCGUUUUGCAUCUACCAGAACUAGCAUUAUCUCCCCCAUAAGAUAUUUCAUGAUUAUCAUCUGCCUUUGUCUUUCUUCAGGAUUUUUGGAUGAGAAGACUGGGCACGGCGUCUGUGUUCGGGUUCAUCCCUGCAGCGUCGAUAAACCCAACGGUUGA
rnacentral:rRNA from 1 species